rnacentral:rRNA from 1 species
ACGAACGCUGGCGGCAUGCCUAACACAUGCAAGUCGCACGAGACCUUCGGGUCUAGUGGCGCACGGGUGCGUAACGCGUGGGAACCUGCCUUUAGGUUCGGAAUAACUCAGAGAAAUUUGAGCUAAUACCGGAUGAUGUCUUCGGACCAAAGAUUUAUCGCCUUUAGAUGGGCCCGCGUUGGAUUAGCUAGUUGGUGGGGUAAAGGCCUACCAAGGCGACGAUCCAUAGCUGGUCUGAGAGGAUGAUCAGCCACACUGGGACUGAGACACGGCCCAGACUCCUACGGGAGGCAGCAGUGGGGAAUAUUGGACAAUGGGCGAAAGCCUGAUCCAGCAAUGCCGCGCGAGUGAUGAAGGCCUUAGGGUUGUAAAGCUCUUUUACCCGAGAUGAUAAUGACAGUAUCGGGAGAAUAAGCUCCGGCUAACUCCGUG